UAAGGAAUAUUGGACAAUGGAGGCAACUCUGAUCCAGCCAUGCCGCGUGAAGGAAUAAGGCCCUAUGGGUUGUAAACUUCUUUUAGACGGGACAAAACCCCUUUACGUGUAAAGGGUUGAUGGUACUGUAAGAAUAAGCAUCGGCUAACUUAGUGCCAGCAGCCGCGGUAAUACGAGGGAUGCAAGCGUUAUCCGGAAUUAUUGGGAUUAAAGGGUGCGUAGGCGGACUAAUAAGUCAGUGGUGAAAGCCUGCGGCUUAACUGCAGCAUUGCCAUUGAUACUGUUAGUCUUGAGUACAGUUGAGGUAGGCGGAAGGUGUCAUGUAGCGGUGAAAUGCUUAGAUAUGACACAGAACACCGAUUGCGAAGGCAGCUUGCUAAGCUGUAACUGACGCUGAGGCACGAAAGCGUGGGGAGCAAACA
rnacentral:rRNA from 1 species